rnacentral:rRNA from 1 species
CAUUACAGAGAUCGUGCCCGAAAGGGUAGACCUCCCACCCGUGUGUACCGUUACCGUGUUGCUUUGGCGGGCCGCCGUCAGGCCCUGGCUUCGGCCGGGUCGUGCCCGCCAGAGGACCCCUCAACUCUAGCAGUCAGGUGUCGUCCGAGUACUAUGAGAAAUAGUGAAAACUUUCAACAACGGAUCUCUUGGUUCUGGCAUCGAUGAAGAACGCAGCGAAAUGCGAUAAGUAAUGUGAAUUGCAGAAUUCAGUGAAUCAUCGAAUCUUUGAACGCACAUUGCGCCCCUCGGUAUUCCGGGGGGCAUGCCUGUUCGAGCGUCAUUUCAACCCUCACGCCCCGCGUGGUCUUGGGCCCUGCCGGCAGCGGCAGGCCCUAAAGCGAGUGGCGGCGCCCGAUGGCCCUGAACGUAGUACAUCUCUCGUUACAGGCGCCGGAGGGACGCUGGCCAGCAACCCCAAUGCCUCUUAUGGUUGACCUCGGAUCAGGUAGGGAUACCCGCUGAACUUAAGCAUAUCAAUAAGCGGAGGAAAAGAAACCAACCGGGAUUGCCUCAGUAACGGCGAGUGAAGCGGCAAAAGCUCAAAUUUGAAAUCUGGCUCUUUCAGGGUCCGAGUUGUAAUUUGUAGAAGCUGUCUCGGGUGUGGCUCCGGUCUAAGUUCCUUGGAACAGGACGUCAUAGAGGGUGAGAAUCCCGUAUGUGACUGGGUGCCUACGCCCGUGUGAGACGCUUUCGACGAGUCGAGUUGUUUGGGAAUGCAGCUCAAAAUGGGUGGUAUAUUUCAUCUAAAGCUAAAUACUGGCCAGAGACCGAUAGCGCACAAGUAGAGUGAUCGAAAGAUGAAAAGCACUUUGGAAAGAGAGUUAAACAGUACGUGAAAUUGUUGAAAGGGAAGCGCUUGCAAUCAGACUUGCGCCCGGGCGAUCAUCGGGGGUUCUCCCCCGUGCACUCGUCCGGGCUCAGGCCAGCAUCGGUUCUCGUGGUGGGAUAAAGGCCCUGGGA